rnacentral:lncRNA from 1 species
AAAAUUAAAACUUGAAGGGCUCACGGAAUCAGCAGCGGUCGAUGCAACGACGCUUGAGAAAUCGAAGAUGAUGCGAACUUGCCGGCCUUCCUCACUCGGGCGCGGGUGUCGUUCCUACUACUGUCGGCCGCUUGCUGAUUGUUGCCUUGCUCGGAGCCUGGGACCGUGGAUCCCUUGUCCUAAGGGAAAGGGAAGGAGAACUGGAGAAGGGAAGCUUGGGUUGGAUCGCUAUUAUUUUCCUGGACAAGGGGUACUUCGAUUCAAUCUGCAAUUGCUGGAAUUUCCUACUGGAUGCCGUUGCCGUUGCGUCAAGGAGUCCAGGUUCCGCACAAGGGAGAUCGAACGAUCGUUUUAACUGAACG